GUGCGCAGUGUACAUAUACUCAAAUUAAAACGAUUCCGAGAAUAUUAGCAUGGCCCCGGCGCAACGAUGGCACGUAAAAUUGUGAACCGUUCCACAUCCCC
rfam:Ixodes scapularis strain Wikel colony gcontig_1108379199302, whole genome shotgun sequence.